rnacentral:tRNA from 2 species
UCCUGGUUGGCUCAGUUGGUAGAGCGCUCUACUGGAAAUGCAGAGGGCCUUGGUUCGAUAGCAGGACUAGGCG